rnacentral:rRNA from 1 species
AUUGAACGCUGGCGGCAGGCCUAACACAUGCAAGUCGAACGAGUGGCGGACGGGUGAGUAAUGUCUGGGAAACUGCCCGAUGGAGGGGGAUAACUACUGGAAACGGUAGCUAAUACCGCAUACCAUCGGAUGUGCCCAGAUGGGAUUAGCUUGUAGGUGAGGUAACGGCUCACCUAGGCGACGAUCCCUAGCUGGUCUGAGAGGAGGACCAGCCAAACGGGAACUGGGACACGGUCGAGACGACGACGAGAGGGAGCAGUGGGGAAUAUGGCAAAAUGGGAGCAAGCAUGAUGCAGCCAUGCCGCGGGUAUGAAGAAGGGCUUCGGGUUGGAAAGUACUUUCAGUGUGGAGGCUGUACCCGCAGAAGAAGUACCGGCUAACUUCGUGCCACCAGCCGCUGUAAUAC